rnacentral:rRNA from 1 species
GACGUAGGGGGCCAGCGUUGUUCGGAAUUACUGGGUGUAAAGGGUUCGUAGGCGGUGUGGCAAGUCGGGAGUGAAAUCUCUGGGCUCAACUCAGAGACUGCUUCCGAAACUGCUGUGCUGGAGUGUGGGAGAGGCGCGUGGAAUUGCAGGUGUAGCGGUGAAAUGCGUAGAUAUCGGAAAGAACACCAACGGCGAAAGCACUCUGCUGGGCCGACACUGACACUGAGAGACGAAAGCUAGGGGAGCGAAUGGG